GGGACCUUCAGAGCAACAAGUGGACUAUGCUCCUCCUGGGCUUCGGGAUUGCACUACCCCUGAUCACAGCUGGAGGUGGGUGUUAUCUCUUGUGGCUCAAGAAGAAGAAGGAGGAGGAGACAGAAGAGGUCACCACACUGCUGCCUCUGUCUGGCUCCCAGGAACAAGGGAGUUACUCAUCUCUCAAAAAUAAACAGGGGACACUAGAAAGCUCACACACAACUGUUUCUGAGCUUUCCAUCCUGUGACCCCUUGCAUUCCAGGGCCACAAGACCCUCAAGGUUCUGCGGUCAUGCCCUCGAGAUGGCAGGCCCUCAUGGUUUCCCUCCACACAUGCCUUUGUAAAAAAGCCCUUCAUUAAACAUCCCUUGAAUUCUAAGAGACUGCACCUUCUACUUCCUGCUUUGACUUGAGCCAAGAAGAGACUUCCAUAAUUGUCUAUGGGUUGUUCUGUCUCCCCAUCCUCCCUGUGACCUACCAUCCUCUUCCUGUCCUUGUCCCAGAGCAACAGCUUCUCAUGCUCGUGCCAGCCUCACCUAAUUAUAACACUAGGGACAGGGACAGAGAUGGUCUGGGUGGCGUCAGAGAUCACUACCUCUAGGCAUGGACCAGAAUAGGUGAGAGACCAGCUGAGGACCCAGUCAAGAGCAGACAGUAACAAGAAGACACCAGAAAUAGGCUCCAGGUUCUGCCA
rnacentral:lncRNA from 1 species